AAAAAGUGAAACACUCAGUGCGAGUCUGAGCAAAACACAGAAGAAAGAGUGGACUUUUUCUGAGAGGAUUUUCUUUCAGAAACUGUUUGUCAGUGUGGCCGGGAACGGAGCUGUGAUUCACCCAGUGUGUGCAUCUGUCACCCUGG